rnacentral:rRNA from 1 species
AUUGAACGCUGGCGGCAUGCUUUACACAUGCAAGUCGAACGGCAGCACGGGGGGCAACCCUGGUGGCGAGUGGCGAACGGGUGAGUAAUGCAUCGGAACGUAUCUUCAAGUGGGGGAUAACGCACCGAAAGGUGUGCUAAUACCGCAUAAUCUCUACGGAGAAAAGCAGGGGAUCGCAAGACCUUGCGCUUUUGGAGCGGCCGAUGUCUGAUUAGCUAGUUGGUGAGGUAAAGGCUUACCAAGGCUUCGAUCAGUAGCUGGUCUGAGAGGACGACCAGCCACACUGGGACUGAGACACGGCCCAGACUCCUACGGGAGGCAGCAGUGGGGAAUUUUGGACAAUGGGGGAAACCCUGAUCCAGCCAUGCCGCGUGAGUGAAGAAGGCCU